GUUAUCAUUUUAACUUCCAGUUUCCAAGAUUAUGUUUCCGUAUGCAGUGCUGCUGCUCUGCACAUUUGUAGGUGCACUAUCCUUCUGACCCUAUGCAAGCCAGGUCCCAUUUACUUUUUUAACUCCUUGCAAAUAUGGCUUGUUUGGUGUCUGCUGUGAAGGAAUACCACAAAAAGUCAACUAUUUGAUUGAUGAAGGCAUGUCAUCCAGCAAAGGCUGCAGCGCAGUCAUCAACUACAUGCACCAUUUCUACACCAACUACGGAGUUGGGGAAAUAUGUGUGGACCUGAAUUGUGAAAAAUGCAGUGGACAAAACAAGAAGAAGAUUGUGCUCUGGUAUUGUACGUGGCAGACCAUGCACAAACUCCACCAUAGUCUGGACCUUCACUUCCUGAUCACAGGCCAAACCAAGUUUACCCCUGCCUGACUGGUUCUUCGGCCUCAUCAAGCAGCACUUCAGAAAGACCAGAGUGAACACUUUGACUGAGAUUGCUGGUGUUGUGAAGGACAGCCACAUGACAGGGGUCAACAUUCCACAGCUGGUUGGACUGGAGGAUGGUACGGUGCUGGAGGAAAGCUAUGGCUGGCAACAACACCUGACUCCGUACUUCAGACUGCUGCCACAGUUCAAGCAGUAAAAGCACUUCUGCGUCGAUGCUCUGGAGCCUGGUGUUGUUGUCGCCAAGGAGCAUUCGGACUCAGUCGGGACCAGGUUUCAGCUGCUGCACAACGCUGACAUCCUUCCUCCGAUUGAUGGUCUGUCUGUACAAGCACCACCUGGAUUGGACACAGCUAGACAAACAUAUGU
ensembl:lncRNA